GUCUUUAAUGAGCAGGUUCGCUUGGACUUAGUGAAGUCCAGCCCCAAUGUGACUAAAGCUGAAGAGAGGGUAAGUAGUAGAGAACAAUAGAAGGUUUGUGCUUAGCAUAAACAUGUAGACCCCCCACCCCCAUAAUGCAGUAUUCUGUCUCUGUUCCUCUAUAAAUCCCACUUUCCUCUCUCUUCCUCAUACACCACAGAUGGAAACUAGAAACCAUCAAAGCUAGUUUUCUAUAACCCUGGCAGAGGUAGUGAUCAGCUGCUACAAGGUUUUGGUUAAAGUGACCACGAGUAAGGAGAAAGCUGUAAACACCUUCACAGUGCCUUUCUCCUGUAACAAGAACUAACCCUCUGUUUUCUUUACAGGCAAACCGGUCCCUGCAAGAGUCUCAGCAGGUGAAACCAGAGCUUGGGCUCCCUUGGAUGUUGGUGUAUGUCCCUGUGAGAAGUUGCCAUAGAGUCCUGAAGGAAAAGUUUGGGGAGUUUUCUCCUCCAACAUACAACCAUUUUCAGCUAAAUAUUUGGUGCAACUGGACCAUAUGGGCAGGCUCCAGAAAACACAUAAUCAUUUAUAUCAAAGGAUUUAUGACCGAUGAGGACUGUGACAAAAAUGAGGAUAAAAUCCUAUUUCAAGGAGUCUCUUCAUUAGUAGAAAACACUGUCAUCUAUGCUUGUUGGAACAAGAAGAUUCAUGUCUUUGCCACCUAUGCCCGGGCUGUCCAUGUAGUAUUUCUGAUGAAGUAUUCUUCAAACCCUAAAAACAAAUACUUUAAAGGAAAGUAUUAUAUAUUCAAACACCGUGACAUUGACUCCUCUUCUGAAGAUAUCUUAGUUUCUCAAGCCCCUAUUCCAAAAUCAAGGAAAACUAGUCACAGCACUCCCAGAUCUAACAAAGUAUCAGUAAUAUACCAUGGAGAGAUUUCGGAUGAUACAAACAUUAGUACAGCUUCAAGUACUGAGAAUCUUAACAAAAACCUUAACAAGACAACGGUACUUAAUAACACAGGGUUAUUACAGGUAGGGGGUGAAGGUCAAAAUGUCGCAGUUCUUAAAAGUUCUCUUCAGCUUAUACCUCAGCAUGGUGCAAGGACUCCACUUUUAAAACCAGAAGCUCAGAGCUUGCUGGAGUCUCUCAGCUUGUCUACAACAUCAAUGGACAAAGAAAAGAGUCUUGGCAUAGGAAAGUCUUUUGGAAGACUACCCCAAACUGCGGCACCUGAUAUCUGGGAGUUGAGACCCUCAGGGUGUGAAGAAGUCCUGGUGGACUUUAGCCAGGUGUACAGGCCAGAAAGUCUUCCAGGCUUUCUUUCUGAGUCUCCUUACCUGAGUGUUUCUCAUUUAAUUGAACCCUUGAAAUCUAUAGAGUUAGAAGGACCAGAGAGCGAAAUGUCCUUUUUACUCACUAGUUUGAUGCAAACUAAUAUGGGAGAUUUACAACUGAAUAUAAAUCCAACACCUCUAAGUUACCCUGUCCUGGCCUCAUAUUCACAUUCUGUAGCCCAUGACAGAGUGGAAACCAUAGGUGACAAGAAUAUUGGCUCUACCCCUUCCCAAAGUCUCAGCAGGGUUACCUUGGUGAAUGAUGAGAAUCUUUUGCAGUCAAACAUCUUGGCUUAUCAGGUGAUGAGCAGUCACGGUGAUAGCCUUGUGAAAGGUUCAUUGCCUAGCCUCAGAAUGUCCAGCCAGGAUCAAGUGGUGCUUGGUGAUCAGUCACAGCCUGAGAUAAGGGGAAUGGAUAAAGCUGGAAGUUACCAAAUAAGUUCUACUGAGAUGGUCAGUGGAGAUAAGUCUGUAACUGAACUGGAUCUAAGAACAACGACCCUCAAAAAUAUUAACCCUCUUGAUGUUUCUGUUCUGGAAAGUUCUAUGGAAGUCCUUGACCAGCCAAAAAUCACAUUGGUUACUGCAGCACCAUAUGGCUUGUCAGACAGUGAGCACCACUUGAAGCUCCUAAGCAGUCAACCUGUAGAUUCUGCUUCUACAGAACUAGAAAGCAUCCUUCCAAGUACAGAAGUGUCCCUGCCUCUAGCUGCUAAGGUAAAUGUGUCAGAGGUGCUCUAUUUGGGCAUGAAAAGCAGCCGGCAAGUGGGCCUGGUUACAGGACUGGAGCCUGUUCCAAGUACGGAAGUUUCUUUUCCUCCAGCUGCCUCAGAACUGGAGCUCAUCCCAACUACAGAAACCUUCCUUCCUGUCCAUCUCACAGAACUGGAGCCAGUCAUCCCCUUCCCACAUACAGAACCAUCCCUCCCUCCAGCUGCCUCAGAACUGGGCCCUCUCCUCUUCCCAAGCACAGAAGUGUCCCUUCCUGUGUUCCCCACAGAAACAGAGCCUGUCACCUCAGCAUUGGAGCCUGUCACCCCUUUCCCAAGUACAGAACCAUCCCUUCAUCCAGCUGCCUCAGAACUGAGGCCUGUACCUGGGAAGGGGAGAGAAGUGACCUUUCCUCUGGCUGCUAUAGAACUGGAGCCUGUCAUCCCAAGUAGAGAAGCGUCUCUUCCUCCAGCUGCACUUAAAAAUGAGCUCCAUUGGAGAACCAAAAGCAGCCACGACACUGACACAGAGCUAGAUCGUAUCCCUCUAAGUACAACCGUGCUGCUUCAUCCAGCUUCUCAGAAGGAGGACCUGUUGGAAGGCGAGCCUCCCUCAAAGCCACACCAUGACUGUUAUGGGGCUCCAGCUGCUACAGAACAUAAACAUGCCCUCCCAAGUACAACACCAUCUCUUAAUUUCUUUCUUCAAGAAAGGAAAAUAGGUGUCCAACAAUCAAUACUAAAAGGUGAGAGAGAGGAGGGCAUCCAUGAGGCAGAAACUGCACAACCUGGAAAGGCUGAUGAAAGGAAUUUAAUCACAAACUUCAUGACUGGCAACUCCUUCUCGGACACAGCUCAGCUGCAAGCCUUAAAACCAGAACCUGAGCUUGGACUUCUUGGAUCUGAGGGCCACACAAGUAAACUUUCUCCAGUGACUGAGUACCUCGCUAAAACACCCUUCGUGGUAACAAGGAUGAAUAGAGUAAAGCAAAAUGAGCUAAUGUUUAAAAAUGGUCUUAUGACCUCUAACACUAGGGCUACUCCACCUCUGGAGCACAUAGCCAUGAAUACUAAAGUCAAAUUGACUGAGCCCGUAAAGGAGAUGAGUAACGCAACACUGAAACAAAUAUUCCCAGAUACCACAAAACCUCAUGAAGUGCAGCAAACCACUGAAUGGAGCAGUGCCUUUCAGAGCUCUGCUACUGCAUAUAGGAACGCUCUGACUCCAGCUGAGAAACUGGCACCGAAAGAGAGCAUAGAUUCACAUCCCGUCCAAUCGUCUUCUGCUCGCGCACCUGAGAAUGCAUCAACUUCAGAAGCAAGAGUCUUCCCGAACUAUAUUGUGCCAGAAUUACCUUGGUUGUUGCUGUAUAUUCCUAUAAGAAGUUGCCACAUCACCUUGAAAGAUGAAAUUGGGACAUUUUCCCCACCAGCAAGUAGUGGUAUUCAUACCAACAUCUGGUGCAACUGGACCAUUUGGGCAGGCCCCCAAAAACACAUCCUGAUUUACAUAAAGGGAUUUCAGGGGAAGGAAGAUUGUGAUGAAAACCCAGAUAAAUUAAUUUUUCAAGGGGUCUUGUCAAGUGUGGAAAGAAAAGUAGUUUAUGCUUGUAAGAACCAAGGUACUCUGAUCUUUGCUACUCAGGCUUUGGCUGUCCAUGUCGUGUUUCUGUCCAAGGGCAAUUCCUUAAACCAUGAACGCAAAUAUUUCAAAGGACAGUAUUAUAUAUUCAAAGACUAUGAAACUUCAAAAUCUACAAAUGAUACUGAAACUCUUCAAGAGCCAGUUCAGAAAACAACUAGGAAAACUAAGUACGGAAGUAUCCGAUUCUACCCUAAAUCACCCAUAAAACACUACAGAGGUCUUCUGGAUUUUGUAAAGACCAGCACAGCUCAUGAUGAAAAUCAACUGCUUAACAAGCUGCCUACGUUGGACAAAGAAGGUUGGGCCAAAAAUGGAAGCUCAACAAGACUAGAGACUUUCUUAAGGGUUGUUCUUGGGAACAACACACACGUCCCUCUCUUAAAAGCCAUGGACAACAUGACCUUCAGAACUCAUGAUCUGAAGUGGCAGCAGGUUAUGAAAUCUUUGGGCAAUGAAAACAGUAGGGAAGAAAAACAUUCUGACUUUCUAAUGGUAACACCAGCAUUAAAUAUAUUGAGGCUAAACAUCCAAAAUGCAAAAGAGCAAACGAUUGCUUUCAGUAAACUUAUGGACAGGCCAACAAUCCACUCGCACCUGCUCUCGGAGACUCUGCAUUUAAAGGAGCCUAUGAAAUCUGUGGAGAUGCGAAGUGUCAAAACAACAAAGUCAGUAGGACCACAGCACAGCUCAGCUGCUCUCUGGAGACCAGCUAAUAUGGAAGACCUACAGCCAGUUGGAAGACAAGCUGUGCAUAGACAGCCUACUCCUCAUGGCUUGCGAUCUCUGCAGGGCACAUGGGACGAGCAGAACAUUCGAACAACCUCUUCUCAAAGCUUUAGAGCUGCGCUGAUCAAAGACAGAGAGGUGCUCCAGUCAAACCAUGUGAAUGAUGAGAGAGUGCCCAGUCAUCCUGCUGCUUUUGUGGAAGACUUCCAGUCUAAUAUAGGGCUGAGCGGGGAUGGUCAAGAAGUAACUGGUCAGCUACAGCAUGUGAUUAACAUGGAGAGAAGAAUUAAAGAAAGUCCUAGUGAACAUCAAACACACAGAAAGGAAAAUGACAACAGUGAUCUGUACAUGAAGCCAGCUUCUGCCCUCAAAAAUGUUCAACCUAAUGUUGAGCCUCUUAUUUUGGGAACUCCUAAGAAAGUUCUCAAAACAAAGUCCAUCCUGGUUACUGUAGCCCUACACAACACGCUGGAUGUCUCUAGCAGUUACCAUGCAGAGACCACUGCUACUGAAUUCAAACCUGUUCUCCCGAGAAGCACCAGAAGUGGCCUGUUGGGAAAGACAGCUGUUGCUACCACACAUCUUGGCACGCCAGUAACCAAAGACAAAGCACCUCCACUGAUCAUGAACACAAAAUCACCUCCUUCCUAUGCCUCUUCUGGUGGAGUAUCAAAGGACACUGCAUCCUUGAAAAUAGAACAUGAAAAAGAUUCCUUUGAUAUGGUGUCCAUCUUCACAUCUCUCGAAAAUGAUUCCAACUUGGUAUCUCAGCACAAUCCUGGAGAUGUCUUAUUUGAAGUAACUAGUGAAAUUGAACACAAGGGAUGGAUCCCACGUAGUGGAGAUGAGCUGAAAAAGACUCUCAUGGAAUCCAUUAAGCUUCACAUACAAAAGAACCUGAAACUCUUGGUAAGCAAAGUCAAUGAAAUCAAGUUGAAGGAAAUCAAAAGGACAAAUGACCUAAAACCAACAUUCACUUUCUGGUUACACUUAAAACCAGAGGAAAGGAAUCUGUCUGUCUUACUCCAUUCUCAACUGAAUGAUCUCAUUGGCAAAUCUAUGGGAGCUGAGAAGUUGCAGAUGGCUUUAUUAUCAGUUAGAGAUGUGAAUGAAUGCAACUCUGGAAUUGGAAUGUGUGGUGAUGAGGCUGACUGCCUCAAUGAAGAUGGCACUUACUUAUGUCGCUGUAAAAAAGAGUACGAAGAUCGCUCUCCGAUGAAAUCUGGCACACUAUGCAUCCGCAUUCCACAAUCAGGUAUUGGUAGUUUGUUCAGCUACCUGGAAAUUCUGGUAGGUACUACAGUAUUCUUCAUCUUCAUCCUCGUGGUGGUGGCAAGCAGUCUGUGCACAAUACUCAGGAAAAGACCCACAAAGAAGGCUUGUAUUGAGGAGCCGGUUGCAAGUGGAACACCUUCUUCAGCACAGUCUCAGCUGCCUGUAUCUUCUAUUGAUCUGAGUAACCUUGGUGACCACCUGAUCCUAGACCCCUUCCGGCCAAAGCUCAGAGCCAAGCCCCCAGAAUGGACAUCACAAGUGCGAACCCACCCAAAUGAGACUUAUAGAAUCUCCGUUGAGCAAUCUGAAUGUUUGUAAAGCAAACCUAUGCUGAAAGUUUGAGGUUUUUCUACUGAUUUCCUCUUAUUUACCAUUCAUGAGCUGAAAUGGCCUAUUCCUUUCAACAGAACUUGAACAAUCCUGUGUCUCCUACACCUGUUUCUGUUGGCUGAAGUGAAUAGAGCUGUGGCUCAAAAGAAAAUUUAUUUUCGUUCUUGGUUGGAUUCUUGACCCCUGUACUGUCUGGUUUCAUAUCGCUGAUUCUUUGUAACUUGAAGGAAUUUUCUGCAAACAGCUGGCAUGUAAAUAAAGCUGGUAUUUCACUAUGCA
ensembl:lncRNA